AGUGAACGCUGGCGGUAGGCCUAACACAUGCAAGUCGAACGGUAGCACAGUAAGAGCUUGCUCUUACGGGUGGCGAGUGGCGGACGGGUGAGGAAUACAUCGGAAUCUACUUUUUCGUGGGGGAUAACGUAGGGAAACUUACGCUAAUACCGCAUACGACCUACGGGUGAAAGCAGGGGAUCUUCGGACCUUGCGCGAUUGAAUGAGCCGAUGUCGGAUUAGCUAGUUGGCGGGGUAAAGGCCCACCAAGGCGACGAUCCGUAGCUGGUCUGAGAGGAUGGUCAGCCACACUGGAACUGAGACACGGUCCAGACUCCUACGGGAGGCAGCAGUGGGGAAUAUUGGACAAUGGGCGCAAGCCUGAUCCAGCCAUACCGCGUGGGUGAAGAAGGCCUUCUGGUUGUAAAGCCCUUUUGUUGGGAGAGAAAAGCAGCAGGUUAAUACCCCGCUGUGCUGACGGUACCCAAAGAAUAAGCACCGGCUAACUUCGUG
rnacentral:rRNA from 1 species